GACGAACGCUGGCGGCGUGCCUAAUACAUGCAAGUUGAGCGCUGAAGGUUGGUACUUGUACCAACUGGAUGAGCAGCGAACGGGUGAGUAACGCGUGGGGAAUCUGCCUUUGAGCGGGGGACAACAUUUGGAAACGAAUGCUAAUACCGCAUAAAAACUUUAAACACAAGUUUUAAGUUUGAAAGAUGCAAUUGCAUCACUCAAAGAUGAUCCCGCGUUGUAUUAGCUAGUUGGUGAGGUAAAGGCUCACCAAGGCGAUGAUACACAGCCGACCUGAGAGGGUGAUCGGCCACAUUGGGACUGAGACACGGCCCAAACUCCUACGGGAGGCAGCAGUAGGGAAUCUUCGGCAAUGGACGAAAGUCUGACCGAGCAACGCCGCGUGAGUGAAGAAGGUUUUCGGAUCGUAAAACUCUGUUGGUAGAGAAGAACGUUGGUGAGAGUGGAAAGCUCAUCAAGUGACGGUAACUACCCAGAAAGGGACGGCUAACUACGUG
rnacentral:rRNA from 1 species